rnacentral:tRNA from 1 species
GUGCAAAAAACGAGAAAUUUGUAUGCGGUUUCGGCCCGUAAGUUGGGGGUGUAAGUCCCUCUUUGUACUC